rnacentral:rRNA from 1 species
AUGGCUGGAUUCGCUCAUGCACUGAGGCCGGAUAAGUUUACCAGUGUGCACUUUAAGAGGUGGCAGGUGAAGACCACGCUCUGGCUUACUGCUCUGAAAGUUUUCCACGCUAGUGUUGGUGCUCCAGAGGGAAUGACUGACGAAGAUCGGAGAAAAUUCCAGGAAGCCAAUACUAUGUUUGUGGGAUGCAUUCUGAGUGUUCUUGCUGACCGUUUGUGUGAUGUGUACAUGCACAUAAAUGACGGAAAGAUUCCGUGGGAUGCACUGAAUGCAAAAUUCAGUGCAACAGAUGCAGGCAGUGAACUGUACAUCAUGGAGAGUUUUCAUGACUACAAGAUGGUGAAUAACCGUUCUGUGGUUGAACAAGCUCAUGAGAUACAGUGCAUUGUGAAGGAACUUGAACUCCGUAAAUGUGUUCUACCCGACAAAUUCGUGGCUGGGUGCAUGAUUGCAAAGUUGCCUCCUUCAUGGAGGAAUUUCGCCACAACUCUGAAGCAUAAGAGACAGGAGAUAUCAGUUGAAAAUCUGAUUGCAUCUCUUGAUGUUGAAGAAAAAGCUCGGGCUAAAGAUACUACUAAAAAAGGAGGUGAGGUUCAGCCUACUGCUAACAUGGUGCAGAGGUACCCACAGAACAAGAACAAAGGGAAGAACAAACCUGUUUUCAACAAGCCUACCAAGACUACUACCUUCAGAAGAAGAAGUUCAACAAGGCUGAGCUAG